UUCUGAAGGCUUCCUUAGAAUGGAAUCUAUCGAAUGUUUAGUAACAAACUUUUUACACAUUUCUGGAGAACUGCUUGAAGAUUCGUCUGAACUCAUUUUUAACAUCUUUCAAUCACUAAAUGUUUGGUAUAGGUUAUAUUUAAAAAUCAGAUUUCUUUAAAAAGUAAUUUUCUUUGAUUUAUAAGACCAUAAGAUCAAACCAAAUUGGUACAAAG
rnacentral:lncRNA from 1 species